UUCGCUCAUUUGUUAUUCACAAUUUAUUAGGGAUGGCGGCCACGUCUGUCCCUCCAGAGAGCUUGAUUAUCCAUCCGGCCAGUAGCGCCAUUAAGCGCACUGACGGUGGGAGGCUCGAGUUAGAAAUUGGGAAAGGAAUCUUCGCCCAGUUUUGGAGCGCCUGCCUCUUCUUCCCUCGCUGCUCGCAGCCAAGGCAGCCCCGAAACUGGGGGCUCCGGCUGAAUGCUUUCGUCCUCUGGCCGCCGAGUGACCCCAGCUUGAGCCUGCAGCCACAACAGCGGGACCGGGGCGGGGAGGAAGAGGAAGGGCGGAGAGACUUCCUUCCAGAGGGAGUGGUCCGAGAACCGGCGGGAGAAGGGCCAAGGGAAGAUCCGGUCACCUGCUCCCAAGCCUGCAGGCGAAGAGGCGAGUUCACCGGCCCCGGAGGAAAGGGGACCCGCCCACUGUUCCCAGGGCAAAUGUGUCGCCGGCAUCCUGGACUCUGCCAGGGAAAACGCGCAUCCACUCGCUCUGCCGGGAGGGGAGCGUGGCAGGGACUCCCAGGCAGCCGCCCCUCUCUGGCUACAAGACCCCGAACAAGAGAAACCCGUAA